CAGGAGACAUUUUUGCCCUUAGGUGAUUUUGGCAUGGCAACAUACAGUACUGAAGCGGUCAACAAUAGUUUCACCAACAUGGAAAAUCCAAUGGAGUAUAUUUCCAAACGUCUUUGUUACCCAAAUGCAAAAAGUUCUCUGGUUUGCCAGACACAGAUAUCAUAAGUAACAGCGAAAGUAACCUUCCCAUAGCCCAUCUUCCUUCUGGGCAUUAAGCACGUGAACACACACAUCACAGAUUGCUACUCUGAUCACUAUGGAGGCAGAAUCUGCAACAUGUUAUCUUCUGUAUAGCCACAACAUCCGAAGUGGAGUAGUCCCUUGAAAAAAUUAAAACUUCAGUCCACGUGGAAACGUCCAAAAUCACAGAGGUGUUCCUCUCUCGGCUGUUCAAUUGCAAUUCCCAAUUACUCUCCAAGCUUUAAUAAGAAGCUUGGUAGCUACCACUUACAAUUACUAAUAAGAAAAAUAAUGAGAGCAAGGAGCAUGUGGGAGCUCUUGUAGAUUAGCUGCUGUUGGCAUCCAUUUUAGGAGGCACUAGUGCCGCUCAGAGGAUAAAGAUAAUUCAGGGCUCAGUUUCAAUAAAUAAUACAUAGUCUCAGGUACAAUGAGUACCUGUAAGUACCUUCUGCGCAGCCUCACGACGUAGGUUAUCGCUCUCCCUGCAGUUCCAGAAGCUCACUGCGCACCUGUUGUUGAUGAAACCGCUCCAUGAAAGGCUGGUAUCCUAACAACCAGGGACAUUUGUUUAUAAGCCCCUGUCACUGCGACUUUUCUCAUCCCUUGAUCACCUCACCUGGGGAAUACAUAAGACUGUGGCCUUCCUGACAGUCUCCAUUCAAAUCCAAUUGCCUACGUCGCCAGAAGUCUUUCUGGAGUGCCUCUUGCCACAUCAAUGCAGACUCAUGAUCAUCAUGAAGCCAGUUCCUUAUUACUCACCACAUUAAAUCUUUUCUGGGUAGAGAUAGGGUCUCACUAUGUUGCUCAGGCUGGUCUCAAACUCCUGGACUCAAGCUAUCCUUCUGCCUUGGCCUCCCAAAAUGCUGGAAUUACAGGUGUGGGACACUGUGCCCAGCCACCACAUCAAGUCAUAAGCUAAAUCCUGCAUUUCUUUCGUCAUGAUGUAUGCAUAGCAGUUAUAUAAUUAAUCUUAAAAUUAAUCUACAUAAUAACAACAAUAUUAAGGACAAUAUUUUCCUUGUAACUUGAUUUACUGGAACACAUAUCUUUAUCCAUUAGCCUGAAAAAUAUCCAUUUCUGUAUACUACCUAGGUUACUCACUUAAAUCCAAGAUUUGAGCCAAAAUAUACGUCUAAUUAAUCACAUUGUGUUAUAGCUGGUUAUAGGAAACUGGUUCCCAGACAAAUUCCCAUACAUGAUCUGCUUAAGUGAGGAUAACAGAUUGACUCAGGAAUCAAAAGCAAUCCAUUUUUUAAAAAAGAAAAAAAUGAAAGCGAUGUCUCAUUCUAGCUGCCAGACUAUGAUUUCCUUGAGGGAAAAGAUUAUUUGAUUCAUCUUUACAUCCCCCAAGAAUAACAUAGUGUCUGAGACAUGCUAGGCAUUAAAUAAAUAUUGAUUAAACGAAUAAGUGUAGACAUUGUUAAGCUGAAGAUUAAGUAUGUCUCACUUCAUAAUUUAUGAGAUAUGCUUUAAUUAUCAUUUGUGUUUUAGAAACCUCUGUAUAUAUUUCAUCUUUAUAUUGAUUUAUCAUGUCGCAUCAUUUAAGCUUAUGCUAACAUUUAGCGCUCACUCACUUUUGUCUCCUUGGUUGAUCAUAUAUUUUCCUCGUUGUAUUAGAGUGUUGGCCACUUGGCGGAAAAGAACAGAGAUCACUGAAGUCCCCACAAGGGGCCGGGCCUUACUUAAAGAAUAUACACUUGUGGCAACUCAGAAAAGCUGGACCAUAAGACUUCAGAAAAACCAGAGACGACUUUUGAUCUUCACUCUGGUGUUCUGCCAUGAACACAACAUUCUGUCUUAAAGGGUGUUGCCUUUAUAGGCCACUCCUCCUGCAUGCUCUGCGGUCUGCACCCGGUGCCACCUGGCUGACUCUUUCCCUUUUCCAUGCAGAUUCUUUAUCACAUAGCUUCCACUUCCUCACGGGAUUCUUUACUCAGAAUUUGGCUUGCCAUGACCCUCCAUGACUUUUUUCUUCUAAGAGACAAGAUCUCGCUCCAUCCCUCAGGCUGGAGUGCAGUGGCACGAACACGGCUCACUGCAGCCUCGACCUCCCAGGCUCAAGAGCUCCUCCUACCUCAGCCUCCCAAGUAGCUGGGACUGCAGGUGCGUACCACCACACCAGGCUAAUAAUUUUUUAAUUUUUUUGUGGAGAUGGGGGUUUCGUUAUGUUGCCCUGUCUGGUCUUGAACUCAUGGCCUCAAAAGAUCCUCCUGCAAGGCCGGGUGUGGUGGCUCACGCCUUUAAUCCUAGCGCUUUGGGAGGCUGAAGUGGGUGGACUGUCUGAGGUCAGGAGUUCAAGACCAGCCUGGCCAACAUGGCGAAACCCUGUCUCUACUAAAAAUACAAAAAUUAGCCGGGUGUGGUGGCACAUGCCUAUAAUCCCAGCUACUUGGGAGGCUGCGGCAGGAUAAUCGCUUGAACCUGGGGGUCAGACGUUGCAGUGGGCCAAGAUCACACCACUUCACUUCAGCUUGGGCAAACAGCAAAACUCCAUCUUAAAAAAAAAAAAUCCUUUUGCCUUGGCCUCCCAAAGCUCUGGGAUUACAGAGCUGGGUGCGUGCCACUGUAUCCAGCCCUCUAUGACUUUAAUUCUCAUAUGGUAAUCUUUCAGCUCCUGCUCCACUGCUAAGUGAUACUGUGAAUUCUCCAUUCAAAUUCCUAAGUCAAAGUGCUCAACCGAAUACAUUUUGGCUGCUUGUUUGUGGGGUGAGGGUGCCGUCCAUGUAGUUUGUAUAUACAGAACUGCCAUUUGGCAGUGACUGUGAGUUGGGCAGCUUCAUGUAGUAGAAGGCUGUAGGUUAGCAAGUACACGAUUGACGUUUCCAAUAAGAUUGGCCUGAUCAUCCACUUCUUAACGUUGCUUAUUCUGGUUUCACUCUUUGAUUCUAAGUUUAAUUUAUCGUGAAAUUGUCUGAGCUCACCACUUUUGCCCAAAGUCUGUAACAGUUCUAAUCUUUUAUAUCAUGUGAAACUGAAAUUGUUGCAUGGUACAGAGAUGUUCUGUAUUUAUUGAUUAGUUAUUAUUUGAGAUUACUAUAAAAUAUAUGUUAAUACUUUGACAUGUUGAAAUGUAUGAAAGAUAGACAAGGAAUAAAGAAAAGCUGAACCAGAAUUUCCUCAUUAAAUCUGAACAAAGUUUCACCACUCUCGUGGCAAUUAAGUAACGUAUUUUGAAACCAGAGAAAUUGGUUCAAAUUACUAAUAACAACUGAUAGUAAAGUCCUACUUCAAAAUUUAAAAUCUUGAGCUUCUGUGGUCUGCAUGGUAAUUUAGAAACUAUUAAUAAAACAUUGAUUGUGUUAUUCUAUGCAGUUUACAAAACACAGAGCCAUUAUUUAACAAGAAUAAAUUUUUAAAACCAUGAUGAGUUGCAUGGGAGAAUAAAAUCCAAUUUUAUUUUCUUCAUGAGCCACUCAUUUAAUAUGAAACUUUCUUUUUUUAGAAAAAUAAAUUUUAUUUUUCUUUUUUUAAAUCUUCAACUUUUAGUUUAUGUUCAGGGGUACAUGUGCAGGAUGUGCAGGUUCAUUACAUAGGUAAACGUGUGCCAUGGUGGUUUGCUUCAAAGAUCAUCCCAUCACCUAGGUAUUAAGCCCAGCAUCCACUAGCUAUUCUUCCUGAUGCUUAAUAUGAGACUAAUAUUCUGUGCAUACUCUUCCAUCAGCUCCUAGAAGCUGAUAUUCAAAACCACGUGUGUAUGGAGUCUCUUGUAUCUAUCCCCUUAUUACGAAGCUAACCUUCCCCCUUCAUAAAGAAGUUUGGCAUUAACAGGAUAAAGUUGGGAAAUGAGUUCAGAAAGCUAGUAUUUAGAUGGCACAUUGGUACUUAAAUCUGACCCAUCAGAGGCCUGGCAGAAAACGAAAGUCUAUAGCUGGAAAUCAAAUCACAGGGGUAUCUGUAGGAACUCUGAGCUGCUGCCAUUUUCUCCAGAUAGCGAUGGAGCACAGCUGUCAGAGUGAAAUCCCGGUUGACUGACUGACUGCAUAAAAUGCCAUGAGAAACACCUGUCUCAUCAAGGACAUUAAAAAGAUAUUCAACAGAACAGUGUUUGUUCAGACCUGUGGUUCCAACAACAACAAGAAGAAAUUCCAACAACAAGAAGAAACAAACGGAAAUCUGCCAGCAACGAAGGUGUACCACAGUGCAAAUCAACUCAGUAGGACUUGAUCACCCUUCGUGAAACAGGUUCUUAUCAUGCAAAGCAAAGGACUUAACCCUAACCCACAGUUAAGCACCUCCACAUAUAACAUCUCAUGAAGGCCAGACCUAAAGGACAUUUGGGAGCUCAUAGCAGUGCUGCUAUGAGACACUUCUUGAUCAAGAAGAAGGCCAGACCUUGCCCUUCUUUAUUCCAAAAUACUUUGAGUACAUAUGACAAUUUCUCAAUCAGUAGACUCCUCCAUUUAUGAAUUACUUUUGCUCAAUGCAUUUCAGGUUGAGUGUUUUCUAGUGAGGUAGGAGAUAACAUAUUUAAAUUUUAUAAGCCUUUCUGGGAAAAGGUGAGGGAUAAAUUAAUUUUAAGGCAUUUGUCACAUUAAAUAUGUAUUAUUAAAUUAAAACAUACUUAUUGCAACAUACUUAAUGAUGUAAAAGGUAAAAUCCUGCCUGUUCCUCUAUAAUCUCAUUUUCAUGUGCUGUUCGUAUACUGGUAAAGUCUUUUAGACCUCUACUCAUGCAAACACCAAUAUAAAUGCAAACACAUGUAGAAUAAAUGCAAUCAUACUAUAUACAUUGCUCUACGUCUUAAUUUUUAUAUAACGUAUUCUCAGAAUAUAAACCUCCUUCUACGUAAGUCUAUACAAAUCUAGCCUUUUCUCUUUAAUGUCUAUAUGCUAUUUCCUACUAUAGGUGGUAUACCAUUUAUUUAUUCCUAUUGUCAGAUAAUCCUGUUAUGUCAAACACAUUUUAAUGUUCCGGAA
rnacentral:lncRNA from 1 species